UCCUAAGGAAUUUUUGGCUUAUUUGGAUCGAAGCGAUUCGAUGAAAUUUUAUAGGAGUUAUCUACCUUUAUCAAAUAAAUUUGUCGUUAUGUUUUUGUUACUCAUAAACUGUAAGCCGUAUAAACCUAUAGUCUUUUUAUUUAAGGUCCUUGGAUCCUAACUUCGAAAAUGAGGUCAAGGUCAAAGGUCAAGGUCAUGUUCUGAAUUUUGUCUUUUGCUUGUUUUUGCAUUUUCUCCGAUAUUUUUAAUGUUAUAUAUUAAAGAACAAGUGCAAAAUGUUUGUUAUAUUGUGAUGAAGAUAUGAUACAUUUGGUCUGAGACAAUCCAGCAACAUCUUAUUGGAGUUAUUGCCCCUGCAAUGUUUUAUUUUAAGGUAAAUUGAUUAUUACUUCAUAUUGG